AGAGUUUGAUCAUGGCUCAGAGCGAACGCUGGCGGCAGGCUUAACACAUGCAAGUCGAGCGGGCACUUCGGUGUCAGCGGCAGACGGGUGAGUAACACGUGGGAACGUACCCUUUGGUUCGGAAUAACGCUGGGAAACUAGCGCUAAUACCGGAUACGCCCUUUUGGGGAAAGGCUUGCUGCCGAAGGAUCGGCCCGCGUCUGAUUAGCUAGUUGGUGGGGUAAUGGCCUACCAAGGCGACGAUCAGUAGCUGGUCUGAGAGGAUGAUCAGCCACACUGGGACUGAGACACGGCCCAGACUCCUACGGGAGGCAGCAGUGGGGAAUAUUGGACAAUGGGCGCAAGCCUGAUCCAGCCAUGCCGCGUGAGUGAUGAAGGCCUUAGGGUUGUAAAGCUCUUUUGUCCGGGACGAUAAUGACGGUACCGGAAGAAUAAGCCCCGGCUAACUUCGUGCCAGCAGCCGCGGUAAUACGAAGGGGGCUAGCGUUGCUCGGAAUCACUGGGCGUAAAGGGCGCGUAGGCGGCCAUUCAAGUCGGGGGUGAAAGCCUGUGGCUCAACCACAGAAUUGCCUUCGAUACUGUUUGGCUUGAGUAUGGUAGAGGUCGGUGGAACUGCGAGUGUAGAGGUGAAAUUCGUAGAUAUUCGCAAGAACACCAGUGGCGAAGGCGGCCGACUGGACCAUUACUGACGCUGAGGCGCGAAAGCGUGGGGAGCAAACAGGAUUAGAUACCCUAGUAGUCC
rnacentral:rRNA from 1 species